UAAAUAACAAUACAGGGCCCACCGGGUCUUGUAAUUGGAAUGAGUACAAGUUAAAGCUCUUAAUGAGGAACAACUAGAGGACAAGUCUGGUGCCAGCAGCCGCGGUAAUUCCAGCUCUAGUAGCGUAUAUUAAAGUUGUUGCAGUUAAAAAGCUCGUAGUUGAUUGUGAAGUGUCGGCGGGUGGUAUACCUUUGUGGUGUCACUGCCAGCUGGUGCUUGGAGUGGGGUGUGGUCUGUGUGGUCUUGAGUGGCUGCAUGGUACUUGGAUCUCAGUGAUUACUGUGAACAAAUUAGAGUGUUUAAAGCAGGCAGCAGAGGCUUGAAUACAUUAGCAUGGAAUAACUGAAUAGGCUCUGGGGCUAUUUAGUUGGUUUUGGGUGGCUCAGAGAAUGAUUAAGAGGAACAGUUGGGGGCAUUAGUAUUUGGCAGCUAGAGGUGAAAUUCGUGGACCUGCCAAAGACUCACUACUGCGAAAGCAUCUGCCAAGGAUGUUUUCAUUAAUCAAGAACGAAAGUUAAGGGAUCGAAGACGAUUAGAUACCGUCGUAGUCUUAACCAUAAACUAUGUCGACUCAGAGUUGCUGCUCAGUUGCUUGAUGCUGGCAGCAGUGCUGUGUGGGAAACCAAAGUGUUUGGAGUUUGGGGGGUGUACAGUUGCAAGUCUGAAACUUAAAGGAAUUGACGGAAGGGCACCACCAGGAGUGGAUUAUGCGGCUUAAUUUGACUCAACACGGGACAACUUAUCAGGUCAGAACAUAGUGAGGAUUGACAGAUUGAGAGCUCUCUCUUGAUUCUAUGGGUGGUGGUGCAUGGCCGUUCUUAGUUGGUGGAGUGAUUUGUCUGGUUAAUUCCGAUAACGAACGAGACCUUAACCUGCUAACUAGAGCGUGGAAGUCUAGGCUUCCAGCGUUCUUCUUAGAGGGACUGUCGGUGUCUAACCGACGGAGGCUUGAGGCAAUAACAGGUCUGUGAUGCCCUUAGAUGUUCUGGGCCGCACGCGUGAUACACUGAUGCAGUCAGCGAGUCUGUUGCCUUGUCUGAGAGGACUGGGUAAUCUUGUGAAACUGUGUCGUGCUGGGGAUAGACCCUUGUAAUUAUUGGUCUUGAACGAGGAAUUCCUAGUAAGCGCAGGUCAUCAGCCUGUGUUGAUUAUGUCCCUGCCCUUUGUACACACCGCCCGUCGCUAGUACCGAUUGAAUGGCUUAGUGAGGC
rnacentral:rRNA from 1 species